AACGAACGCUGGCGGCAUGCCUAACACAUGCAAGUCGAACGAGACCUUCGGGUCUAGUGGCGCACGGGUGCGUAACGCGUGGGAACCUGCCCUUAGGUUCGGAAUAACUCCCCGAAAGGGGUGCUAAUACCGGAUAAUGUCUUCGGACCAAAGAUUUAUCGCCUUUGGAUGGGCCCGCGUUGGAUUAGCUAGUUGGUAGGGUAAAAGCCUACCAAGGCGACGAUCCAUAGCUGGUCUGAGAGGAUGAUCAGCCACACUGGGACUGAGACACGGCCCAGACUCCGACGGGAGGCAGCAGUGGGGAAUAUUGGACAAUGGGCGAAAGCCUAAUCCAGCAAUGCCGCGUGAGUGAUGAAGGCCUUAGGAUUGUAAAGCUCUUUUACCCGGGAUGAUAAUGACAGUACCGGGAGAAUAAGCUCCGGCUAACUCCGUG
rnacentral:rRNA from 1 species